GUACACGCUGUGACUAGCAUAUCAAUAAGCGGAGGAAAAGAAACUAACAAGGAUUCCCCUAGUAACGGCGAGUGAAGCGGGAAGAGCUCAAAUUUGAAAUCUUAAAGGGUUUCCCUUUACGAAUUGUAGUUUAAAGAAGUGUUUUCUGUUGAGGUUUUGGUAAAAGUUCUUUGGAAUAGGACAUCAUAGAGGGUGAGAAUCCCGUAUUUGACCUUUACUUUCAACUUUGUGAUACACUUUCAAAGAGUCGGAUUGUUUGGGAAUGCAGUCCAAAAUGGGUGGUAAAUUUCAUCUAAAGCUAAAUAUUGGCGAGAGACCGAUAGCGAACAAGUACCGUGAGGGAAAGAUGAAAAGAACUUUGAAAAGAGAGUUAAACAGUACGUGAAAUUGUCAAAAGGGAAGCGUUUGACACCAGUGUUGUUUUUCUGAAAAUCAAUUAAAGAACUGUUUAUGCUAAGCUGUUUAGACUUUAUCAGCUAUCUGUUUAGUUUUGAGCUUUUCUUUAAUGCACUUUUCAGUUAACAAGUCAACAUCAAUUUCUUUUGCUGUAAAAAAGCUUGAGGAAGGUGGCUUGAGAUUCGUCUUAAGUGUUUAUAGCCUCUUGCCUAUGCAGUCGGAGAGAUUGAGGUCUGCAGCGUAGAUCCUUCGGGGCUAAAUGCAUUUGUGCUAAGUUAUAGCAUUUUAUAGACAACUUGCUGACUAUGAUUUGUCUUGUAGCUUACUCGCUUAUGUUAUUUUACCUACGCUUAGGAUGUUGAAGAUGUAGCACAUCA
rnacentral:rRNA from 1 species